AUGCUGCAGGCCUGCAACAUUUAUAGAGGAGGAUUGCGGGUGUCGAUACAAUGGAGCAAUUUCUGGCUUUGUAGUUGGAGCAUAGCCUCGAUUAUGCAUGAUUUUGGGCAAUUGGAUGUUAAUCUGCUAUGGGCAGCGGCGGUGCAUCAAGGUGCAAGGCAGCAGCGAGAUGUUCAUAUUACGCUAAAGGAUGAACUCCUACUUUUUCUGAUGCUAGCUCCUUGCUGCAGAUAUACCAGCCUGCUUACAUCUCCCAAGAUAUCCUCUUGGUCAAGGCAAUUGCACAUGAUGAAGCCACUCAUUUUAGUGGUACACCACACUCUGAGCAAUAGGACCAAAAACAGGAAGAUAAAUUUUCACAAUUCGAUUCUUCAUAUUUUCCAGAAGUACGGCCACCUUCUGCACAGUGCCCUUGCAUUUGUGUUCUUAUCAAAUGAGUUUCUUUCCGUAGAAUUUGUUCAGGAUAUACAUUGUGCUUAA
rnacentral:rRNA from 1 species